AAGGAAGUAAGGGCGAGCCCGUCGGACUACGAAGCGGGACGGAAACUACAAUUCCCAGCAGGCCUUGGGCCUCAGUGCGGCCGCGAAGCAGAGCGGGCUGUAGCGCCUUGCGCGCGCGGUGGGGAUGGAACGUUGCUAGGCUUAGCGGGUCUAGCUGCUGGGGGCCCGAGCAGCACGCUCGGAGCCGCCGCGCGCCAAAGCGGGAAUCUGGGAGGCGAGCAGCUCUGCAGUUAAUGCACGUAUUUUAAACUCCCGAGCCUGCGGACGCUAUGCACAGGAAGCACCUCCAGGAGAUUCCAGACCUGAGUAGCAACGUUGCCACCAGCUUCACGUGGGGAUGGGAUUCCAGCAAGACUUCUGAACUGCUGUCAGGCAUGGGGGUCUCCGCCCUGGAGAAAGAGGAGCCCGACAGUGAGAACAUCCCCCAGGAACUGCUCUCAAACCUGGGCCACCCGGAGAGCCCCCCACGGAAACGGCUGAAGAGCAAAGGGAGUGACAAAGACUUUGUGAUUGUCCGCAGGCCUAAGCUAAAUCGAGAGAACUUUCCAGGUGUUUCAUGGGACUCCCUUCCGGAUGAGCUGCUCUUGGGAAUCUUUUCCUGUCUGUGCCUCCCUGAGCUGCUAAAGGUCUCUGGUGUUUGUAAGAGGUGGUAUCGCCUAGCGUCUGAUGAGUCUCUAUGGCAGACCUUAGACCUCACAGGUAAAAAUCUGCACCCGGAUGUGACUGGUCGGUUGCUGUCUCAAGGGGUGAUUGCCUUCCGCUGCCCACGAUCAUUUAUGGACCAACCAUUGGCUGAACAUUUCAGCCCUUUUCGUGUACAGCACAUGGACCUGUCGAAUUCAGUUAUAGAAGUGUCCACCCUCCACGGCAUACUGUCUCAGUGUUCCAAGUUGCAGAAUCUAAGCCUGGAAGGCCUGCGGCUUUCGGAUCCCAUUGUCAAUACUCUCGCAAAAAACUCAAAUUUAGUGCGACUUAACCUUUCUGGGUGUUCUGGAUUCUCUGAAUUUGCCCUGCAGACUUUGCUAAGCAGCUGUUCCAGACUGGAUGAGCUGAACCUCUCCUGGUGUUUUGAUUUCACUGAAAAGCAUGUACAGGUGGCUGUUGCGCAUGUGUCAGAGACCAUCACCCAGCUGAAUCUUAGCGGCUACAGAAAGAAUCUCCAGAAAUCAGAUCUCUCUACUUUAGUUAGAAGAUGCCCCAAUCUUGUCCAUCUAGACUUAAGUGAUAGUGUCAUGCUAAAGAAUGACUGCUUUCAGGAAUUUUUCCAGCUCAACUACCUCCAACACCUAUCACUCAGUCGGUGCUAUGAUAUAAUACCUGAAACUUUACUCAUCCAGAACUCCUAGGAGCUUCUAGCGUCUACCCAAAAAGGCUUCUCUGUCAUCUAUUCUUUCCUGUCCUUGCCAUCUGGCCUCCUGCUUCUUUGCCUGUGCAGCCCCCUGGGGAGUGUGGUGAUCAUUCUUUUUGGGUCGCUUUUCUCAAGAGAAUCUAUCCAUGUGUCUUGCUUUUGUUCCUUCUCUGCAGAAAGAAAGAAGCUAAGCAGUGAACUUGGAGAAAUUCCCACACUAAAAACACUACAAGUUUUUGGAAUCGUGCCAGAUGGUACCCUUCAACUGUUAAAGGAAGCCCUUCCUCAUCUACAGAUUAAUUGCUCCCAUUUCACCACCAUUGCCAGGCCAACUAUUGGCAACAAAAAGAACCAGGAGAUAUGGGGCAUCAAAUGCCGACUGACACUGCAAAAGCCCAGUUGUCUAUGAAGUAUUUAUUGCAGGAUGGUGUCUCUUCUUUAGAACAGGGAAAAUAGGCAGGAAGCCCAAUUGCUGGAGUACUUAGCUAGUUUUAUUCUUGGUUUUCCCUUUGCCUUCAUUCUGCAAGUAUACUAGGGAGCCAUUUGAGAGGGAAAACUAUGAAAUCUUGCUUUUUGAAAUGAUUCUAAAAGCUUCUAUCACUGCUUUGCUCUUAAGAGCCAAAGUUGUAGGCCUUUUGAAAUUUUGGGAGAGUGAGCCUAUAAUUUCAAGGUACCUUAAAGAGCAAAAUUUGAGCCACCUCUUCCAAGUGCCCUUCUUACUAAGUCUAUUCAGAAUCAAGCUUAAAAAUUACCACCAGCAAACAAUCUUCAUAGCCCAUAUAACUUUUAUCUAUUUAAUUUUAUAGUAUUGCUUUAUAAGACAGCUUAGAAGAACAAUAAGCUAUUUGUAUUAUGAGCUGAACAAAAAGAGAAUCAUAGGAUAGUAGCGUCUGAGGCCAUCUUUUCUAGGAAUAGGAAAGAGAAAAAUGUAUUUUAAUUUUGCCUUUAGAUUUGAAAUUAGGUUAAUAGAAAUAAGUAACCCCAUGUAAUUCACCUUAAAACUUAACAAAAGACCAAACAUUACAAAACCCAGAGGUAUAGAAUCAAUAUAGGAUUUGAAGGCCCAGCAGACAGUUUUCUAUGACAGGUUAAUCUGAAGUAUCCUGUAAUGUUCAUUAAGUUACUGUGUUUCCAGAAUCUAAAUUAGAUGAGAAAUAUAAUUGUGGUUUUCUAACUUGAUAAUCAAAUUAUGUUAACAUGGGUCCUUUAGCUUUUAAAAUGACUUGCUUUGUUUUAGAAAGGUGGUAUUAAUCCACUCUCUAUUCUUGAAAAUUUGGAUGGAAGAAUUCUGAAGUUGCCUGCUGUUUUCCUUUAGCGCUGAGGUUCUUAAGGUUACUUUUAUAUUACUCUGGAAUCAAGUAUUUUAAAUUGUAUUUUUUUAAAAUGAUCUCUCAGCAAUAAUUGUUUGAAACUAUCCAUAUAUAAGGUUAUCAGACCUACAGUUCCCUAAGAGGAGCUGCAUGUUCUCUUCAAUCAGAAAUAUACAGUAGAAGCAGGUAUAUCUUCCAUGCAGUUUCAGUAGUAAGCACUACUUAUACCUACAUAAGAGUUAAAAUCCAGAUGUGGGACCUUUUGAUACCAUCAGUGAUAUAUAUUUUUUUAAACUGGUACAGAGAAGUGAAAAGAUUAAAUUCUACUUCUAUUUUUUUUUUUUUUUUUUUGAGACGGAGUCUCGCUCUGUCACCAAGGCUGGAGUGCAGUGGUGCGAUCUCGGCUCACUGCAAGCUCCGCCUCCCAGGUUCACGUCAUUCUCCUGCCUCAGCCUCCCGACUAGCUGGGACUACAGGCGCCCACCACCACGCCCGGCUAAUUUUUUUGUAUUUUUAGUAGAGACGGGGUUUCACCAUGUUAGCCAGGAUGGUCUCAAUCUCCUGACCUCAUGAUCCGCCCGUCUCGGCCUCCCAAAGUGCUGGGAUUACAGGCAUGAGCAACUGCGCCCAGCCAAAUUCUACUUCUUAAAAAUCACAAAAACUAGUUUAAAUUGAUGACUUGUUCGUAUGUUCAAAAUGUAACAACAAAAAAAGCCAACACCAGUCAUUUAUAUUAACUUUUUUUUUUAAAUCAAAAAUUGUUAAUGUUAGAAACAUAGUAUGAAGUGCCUUUAUCUGCUUAGACCUAAGGAAGAUUUUAAAGUUGGGUUGCACAGGAAAUGAUGAUGCUUCAAUUUCUUAAUAGUUAAAAAGUGCUAAAUACUACUUGAAAUUAUUGUUUACAGAUUAGUGACAAGAGCUGGGGUUAGGAUCCGGUUGGACUCUGACAUCGGAUGCCCUCAAACAUACAGAACUUCCAAACUCAAGUCCAGCCAUAAGCUAUUUUGCCAACAUGUCAGAGUAAUCUGUAUUUUUGUAUGUGAUUUCUACUUUUAUAGACUUGUUUUAAAACAAUAAAACACAUUUUUAUAAAAA